AGCUCUGCACUACUAUAACCAGCCAGCACAAGCGUCCUGUUACAAAUUGAGUCACCCAGUGUCACAUUUGAUUGAUUGUAGGAGAGGGUGAUGCUAGCUUUGAAUGAAUUGCCAAGUCUGCAAAUACUUGGCAAAUUCUCCUUCUAAAGCUGAAGUCUUGAAGGAAAGUGAUCAGGUAGGAACCUCAGCUUUGGAGCAAGGAAAAGAAAGUUUCUGCCUCUAAUGGCUGGAAAGAAAGGACAGCCACUCUGGCUGGCUGGCUGGCUUAAGCUAGGGUGGGAAACUAGGAGGCAAAUUAUUGCUGCUUCUGAUUUUAUUCCUUUUCUGCAACGCCUGGCUUCAAGCAAACGUCAGCUGGAGGGGGUGCAGAGGCUGACUGAGCUUUUGAACACUGGUGUUGGCAGCUCUAGAGAAGAGCUCCCAUGUGCUCUUGGUUACACUCGUGUCCCUGUGCCUGUGAAACUCGGGUGUGUGCUCUAGUUUGCAGCACUGCUUGUUGCCAACAUGUGGCUGGAUGUAGGUGGCCUGUCCUUGCUGUAAUUUGGUGGGUACUAAUGCAUCAACACUAUGCAAGUCUGCCUUUAGUUAGCUCUUCCUCCUCCCAGAUGUAUGGCAUUCCACGUGGGGUUUAGUUAUCUGGAGUUGCAAGAGGAGACCGUGCUGGAGGAUUAUAUCUUGCCCUAGUUUAGUUAAAUGCUCAGAGACAAGGCUUUGUAUUGAAGAAGUUCCAGUUUUCCUAUUGGCUUCUCAGUCUAUCCAGCCCCCCUCUAGUCUAAAAAAAUUGUUUGUUAUCAAGAAUGUUAGCAUCCUGGUUGGAAAAAAACUGCUGUGUGACUUCUAACUGCAUCCCUGCCUUACCAGCUAAGGAGAAAAUCAGCUGGCUUGAUUUAAUAGCAGAAGUAGAGGAAAGCUGAUGGUGGUGCAUUUUUUUUUUUUUUUUGUCUGCAGUGAUCUUUAGCUCAGAAGAGCACAUCUCUGCUAAUUGACUAUUAAACAAGAUUGCUUGCUGAGGUGCGCUGGCUUGCCAUUUCAAUCCUUUAAGGAAUAAGCCUCUGAUCAGCUGCACAUACGGCUCUUAAAUAUAAUCUGCCUAAUGACUGGAGGGCUUUGACCUUAUGUUUUUAAGGCGCUGA